GAUGAAGAACGUAGCGAAAUGCGAUAAGUAGUGUGAAUUGCAGAAUUCAGUGAAUCAUCGAAUCUUUGAACGCACAUUGCGCCCCUUGGUAUUCCAUGGGGCAUGCCUGUUCGAGCGUCAUCUACACCCUCAAGCACUGCUUGGUGUUGGGCGUCUGUCCCGCCUUCGCGCGUGGACUCGCCCCAAAGUCAUUGGCAGCGGUCUCUGGCACCUCAACGCGCAGUACAAUGCGUCCAUUGGGGUGCCGUGGGCGCGUCCAUAAGCUAUUUACCGUCUUUGACCUCGGAUCAGGUAGGGAUACCCGCUGAACUUAAGCAUAUCAAUAAGCGGAGGA
rnacentral:misc_RNA from 1 species